GUAGUUGUGGCCAAGUGGUGAAGGCAAUGGACUAGAAAUCCACUGCGGUUUCCCUGUGCAGGUUCAAAUCCUGCCAGCUAUG